CCUACGGGAGGCAGCAGUGGGGAAUAUUGGACAAUGGGGGCAACCCUGAUCCAGCCAUGCCGCGUGUGUGAAGAAGGCCCUCGGGUUGUAAAGCACUUUCAGUGAGGAAGAACGCCUGGUGGUUAAUACCCAUCAGGAAAGACAUCACUCACAGAAGAAGCACCGGCUAACUCCGUGCCAGCAGCCGCGGUAAUACGGAGGGUGCGAGCGUUAAUCGGAAUUACUGGGCGUAAAGCGCGCGUAGGUGGCUUGAUAAGCCGGUCGUGAAACCCCCGGGCUCAACCUGGGAACGGCAUCCGGAACUGUCAAGCUAGAGUGCAGGAGAGGAAGGUAGAAUUCCCGGUGUAGCGGUGAAAUGCGUAGAGAUCGGGAGGAAUACCAGUGGCGAAGGCGGCCUUCUGGACUGACACUGACACUGAGGUGCGAAAGCGUGGGUAGCAAACAGGAUUAGAUACCCUUGUAGUC
rnacentral:rRNA from 1 species